rnacentral:sRNA from 1 species
GCACCGGAGACGACGGCGGAUUCAUCUACUUCCUCUUGAUGAGUGGUUGAUGAUGAUCGGUGGAAUCCAUUAGAGAAGGAAAAGAUUCCUUGGUGAUGAUGAUAAU